rnacentral:rRNA from 1 species
CCUACGGGAGGCAGCAGUGGGGAAUUUUGGACAAUGGACGCAAGUCUGAUCCAGCCAUGCCGCGUGCGGGAAGAAGGCCUUCGGGUUGUAAACCGCUUUUGUCAGGGAAGAAAAGGGCGUUUCUAAUAAAGAUGCCUCAUGACGGUACCUGAAGAAUAAGCACCGGCUAACUACGUGCCAGCAGCCGCGGUAAUACGUAGGGUGCAAGCGUUAAUCGGAAUUACUGGGCGUAAAGCGUGCGCAGGCGGUUAUGCAAGACAGAUGUGAAAUCCCCGGGCUCAACCUGGGAACUGCAUUUGUGACUGCAUAGCUAGAGUACGGUAGAGGGGGAUGGAAUUCCGCGUGUAGCAGUGAAAUGCGUAGAUAUGCGGAGGAACACCGAUGGCGAAGGCAAUCCCCUGGACCUGUACUGACGCUCAUGCACGAAAGCGUGGGGAGCAAACAGGAUUAGAUACCCUGGUAGUCCACGCCCUAAACGAUGUCAACUGGUUGUUGGGAGGGUUUCUUCUCAGUAACGAAGCUAACGCGUGAAGUUGACCGCCUGGGGNGGUAACGGUCGCGAGUUAGUAACGUUACGAAGAAGUUAGAGGCGNGAGAGNGCGACGGACGACGACGAGGGAGGAGG